ACAUUUACACAUUCGCAGGACUGUCGCCCUAGCGCGCUCCUUUCUCUCCCCAUUCUGCCACAGCCGCCGCUCUCCAUUCUCUCCUCCUUUCUCUUCUUCCUCCCUACGGCCGCCCCCGUUCCUUCCUCCCUUCCGCCGCCGCCACCGCUCCCCGGCCUGGUCGUGCCGCCCUCCUCCCAGAUCGGCAGCAGGGGAUCCGACCCCCUUCCUCUCCCCCAGAUCCGGCCAUCCCGGGUCUGGAUCCGGCGGACGGGGCGGCGAGGGAGGCCGCCAGUGGCCCCGCCUUCCCGAAGCUCCGACGCCCCGAUCUGCCCCCGCGUCGUCCACCUCUCCGGCCGUCGCACAUCGCCAUCACCUGAGCUCCCUGACCGUGGCUACUCCGCCCCAGCCCUCCAAUCCUUCAUUUUUCAGGUGAGGGUACUCUGGUAUGUCUCAACUUGCAGGGGUGGGUCACCGGCACCAGCGGCAGCGGCAGCAUCGCCUUCAAGACCAAUCACCCUGCAGUGCCCCUCGCACAGCAGCUCAUCAUCAUGUCCCCCAUCUGGUAACUAGCGCUUGCCUAUCCAUUUCUUUUUGGUCCUUCCACUCAGAUGAGCAGGUUACCCAGCACAUAUUCGUGAAACUGAGAAAAACAUCAGGUGUAUGGAGUCAAUGAUCAACGUGAUGAUGUGAAUAUAUUGAAAUUUGGGAUCUUUUAUUGUUCCACCAUGCAUGGAUUUCUUGUGUUGAUAACUUGAUAUAUACUUCAUUUAUUUUCCUUAUGAAUCUGACAAAACUAAGUUUACUUUGCUGCAUUUGUUUGUAUGAGUUUCUUCAGAGCUACUAGAAAGAUUUUGUUGCACACGAUUUUCAGGCAAUGAUGUUCAAUUAACCAUCAGAUCGAUAGUUAUGUAUACUAGCAGGUAAUCAUCUUGGGUGAAACAAUUUCUCUACAUGAAACCACUUGUGCAGAUGGAUAUGCAUUCUUAUCAAAAUCUGGACUUAGAGGUGAAGUGUUGGAUUUAGCUAUUAUUUACAUGAUCAAUGGCCUGAACCUAAACUUCUCCUGUCAUGCAUGGUCUGAAAUGCGCCGCUGCAUAUAUACAUUAACCAAACACUUAUUCCUGACCUCAGAUUAGAAUUAUCAUUUUAGGAAGGACAUUUACAUCUACGCUUAUUCUGUUCUGACUAGAAUAUAUGCUCAUAUAUUUACUGAUCCAUACCUUAAAUUAACAUAAAAGGGAUUGAUACUACAUUUGUUUUUAAGCUUCGAUGUGUCCCCUACUAUCACCAUCUGUAACUAUAAGCAGCAUCCAUAUGUCUCAAUCUAUUUUGUUAAAACAACUUUAUAUGUAAAGGUGGACUGAUGUCUGCAAUAGUAAACGAUGACAUUGAUACUUGUUAAGGAUUUUUCUUUCCAUGCUUCCAGCUGGUAGACAAAAUAACCAAGCAAGCAGAAAGCUAAACUGACCAUUCAUCCACAUGUAUCCUUGCUUCCUUAUUCCUGUAUGUUUUUUGAAGCGAUCACCAACAGCUAUCUAACUAUGUACUUGUUGUUUCCUCAAUAAAAAACAAUGAACUUAUUUCUCAUUUCCUUUUGCCCGCUGAAGCUUAUAUUGCCCAAAGCACUUUGCAUCUCUAAUAAAAUGUAUCUUAAGUAUCGUUACUUCACUAUAUUGUUUAAUGACAAUGUUCUGCCUGACAGAAAUAGUGUGAUAAAUGUUCAUGGAGUAUUAUUACAGAAAUUUCUUUGCAGUUAAUCAGUAAUAGCUUGCUGCCACCUUCCUGUAUUUGAUUUUUUAGAUGUGCUACCUUUGUGACCAUCCCUCUGUAAGUAUGGUGUAUCUCCAAUUUUAUUUCUUAUCUUUUGAGUACAACUUCCGCAUAGGUGAUUACCAUAUUUAUUUAUCUUGCAUUGAAAUUACAUGGAAAUCUCUUAUAAGAUCCUUUUGUGAAGUGAUUCAGGAAAUGACACAAGGAAAUCUUCCAGCGGCGUGUUUAAGUUCAAGAAUGGCAUUGCUCCUUGCAGAGAGGAUGUGAUUCAAAAGACAUGCUUUAAAUUUUAGAUACGUGUGUGCAUGUGUGCACUUACUAGUAUGGCCAAAUUGUAAAAUUUACAGCCGUUAUGCUGCUGUAAUGAGGCUAUUUUUUUUGGUGUAACGGGGCUAUUUUUUGGUGUAGCAACAACACUUGCUACUGAUCACAGACAUAUUAGUUGAAUAAAGAUUGAGGUUGACUAAAUUAAUAUA